AGUAACCAGAGGCCGCAAGAAGAGAUCACUUGUAUAUACACGGGCCCCAUCUUUUGAUUUUUAAGACAAAAGAAAAAGAAUCUUCUUCAACAAGUAAGUAAAUGCAUUUACUAUUUAUCAUGCUAUGGGACACCUUAGUAGAACACGCUAUCUUCAGCCUUAUCAUAUGCAUAUUUUGUUGUUGUUGUUGUUGUUGUUGUUGUUGUUAAAGACAGGGUCUCAUAUAUGCCAGGCUGGCCUCAAACUUUCAGUGUAACCCAAGAUAAUCUGGAACUCCCGACUCCUCUGCUCCCACCUCUCCAGUGCAGGACACUGUUUAUACCGUGCUGGGGAAUUGAACUCAGAGCUCCCUGCAUGUCAGCUAAGCAUUCUACCGACCAAGUCCCAUGCCCAGUCCCUAACUCCCCAACUUCACUGCUUUUUAAACAUACAUACAAUCAUAACUUGCCCUCAGAGCAGUCUCCUGGGGUCUCUUAUUCUCAAGGCUGCGGCAUUCCAACACUGUUAGAAAAACACCAUCAGGAUUCUUUUGUGUUUCCUAGAUGCAAACAUUUUUGUAGGGCGAAGUUGAGGUUUUUCUAAUCAAGAAAAUGCCGGUAACAAGUCUCUUCAAGCUAACUGGUUGGCUAAGGGGUAUCUCUCCAAAAGAAGAGAUCCACAUGUCAGGCCAGUUGUAGGCAUGAUGUCUGUCUCCCUCCCUUUCUUUCUUUCUUUCUUUUUUUCUUUCUUUCUUACUUUCUUACUUUCUUUCUUUUCUGUUUUUUGGUUUUUCGAGACAGGGUUUCUUUGUAUAGCCCUGGCUGUCCUGGAACUCACUCUGUAGACCAGGCUGGCCUCGAACUCAGAAAUCUGCCUCUGCCUUUACCUCCUGAGUGCUGGGAAUUAAAGGUGUGCACCACCAUGCCCGGCUGGGAUGUCAUUCGUUUUCAUUUCUCAAUUUUGAUACUUUAUGG
rnacentral:lncRNA from 1 species